CUGGAAGGUAAGUAACACGGCCAGGUCCUGGAAGGCCACACAGCCAGGUCCUGGAAGGUAAGUAACAGCCAGGUCCUGGAAGGUAAGUAACAGCCAGGUCCUGGAAGGUAACACGGCCAGGUCCUGGAAGGUAAGUAACACGGCCAGGUCCUGAAAGGUAACACAGCCAGGUCCUGGAAGGCCAGUAACACAGCAAGGUCCUGGAAGGUAAGUAACACGGCCAGGUCCUGGAAGGCAAGUAACACAGCCAGGUCCUGGAAGGUAAGUAACAGCCAGGUCCUGGAAGGCAAGUAACACAGCCAGGUCCUGGAAGGUAACACGGCCAGGUCCUGGAAGGCAAGUAACACAGCCAGGUCCUGGAAGGUAAGUAACAGCCAGGUCCUGGAAGGUAAGUAACAGCCACGUCCUGGAAGGUAACACGGCCAGGUCCUGGAAGGUAAGUAACACGGCCAGGUCCUGGAAGAUAACACAGCCAGGUCCUGGAAGGCCAGUAACACAGCAAGGUCCUGGAAGGUAAGUAACACGGCCAGGUCCUGGAAGGCAAGUAACACAGCCAGGUCCUGGAAGGUAAGUAACAGCCAGGUCCUGGAAGGCAAGUAACACAGCCAGGUCCUGGAAGGUAACACGGCCAGGUCCUGGAAGGCAAGUAACACAGCCAGGUCCUGGAAGGCCAGUAACACAGCAAGGUCCUGGAAGGUAAGUAACACGGCCAGGUCCUGGAAGGUAAGUAACACGGCCAGGUCCUGGAAGGCCAGUAACACAGCAAGGUCCUGGAAGGUAAGUAACACGGCCAGGUCCUGGAAGGUAAGUAACAGCCAGGUCCUGGAAGGUAAGUAACACGGCCAGGUCCUGGAAGGUAAGUAACACGGCCAGGUCCUGGAAGGUUAGUAACACUGCCAGGUCAUGGAAGGUAAGU